AAAACUGACACCGUAACUUCGGGAGAAGGUGUGCCCUUUGGCGUAACGAACUUCGCGUUCGGCGCGUCGGAGGGUUGCAUAGAAAUGGGGGUUGUGACUGUUUACUAAAAACACAGCACUCUGCUAAGUCGAAAGACGACGUAUAGGGUGUGAUGCCUGCCCGGUGCUGGAAGGUUAAGGGGACGUGUCAGCGCAAGCGAAGCACCGAACCGAAGCCCCAGUAAACGGCGGCCGUAACUGUAACGGUCCUAAGGUAGCGAAAUUCCUUGUCGGGUAAGUUCCGACCUGCACGAAUGGCAUAACAACAUCCCCGCUGUCUCGACCAGGGACUCAGCGAAAUUGUAUUGGGGGUGAAGAUACCCUCUACCCGCGGCAAGACGGAAAGACCCCAUGAACCUUUACUGCAACUUGGCAGUGAGUUUCGGAUCAUUCUGCGUAGGAUAAGUGGGAGGCAUUGAAAGCGGGCUUCUGGGUUCGCUGGAGCCAACGUUGAAAUACCACUCUGGAUGAUCUGGGAUUCUAACCUGCGCCCAUUACCUGGGCGAGGGACACUGCCUGGUGGGCAGUUUGACUGGGGCGGUCGCCUCCUAAACAGUAACGGAGGCGUGCGAAGGUUCCCUCAGCCUGAUUGGAAACCAGGCGUAGAGUGCAAACGCACAAGGGAGCUUAACUGCGAGACCGACAGGUCGAGCAGGUGCGAAAGCAGGCGUUAGUGAUCCGGUGGUUCCACAUGGAAGGGCCAUCGCUCAUCGGAUAAAAGGUACUCUGGGGAUAACAGGCUGAUCACUCCUGAGAGUUCACAUCGGCGGAGUGGUUUGGCACCUCGAUGUCGGCCCAUCGCAUCCUGGGGCUGGAGCAGGUCCCAAGGGUUCGGCUGUUCGCCGAUUAAAGCGGUACGCGAGCUGGGUUUAAAACGUCGUGAGACAGUUUGGUCCCUAUCUGCCGUGGGCGUUGGAUACUUGAGAGGAGCUGACCAUAGUACGAGAGGACCUGGUUGGACGUACCUCUAGUGUGCCGGUUGUCACGCCAGUGGCAUAGCCGGGUAGCUAUGUACGGAACGGAUAACCGCUGAAAGCAUCUAAGCGGGAAGCCGGCCUCAAGACAAUGUAUCCCGGGCGCAAGCCCCUAAAGACCCCUUGUAGACCACGAGGUUGAUAGGCCAGAGGUGAAAGUGCAGCAAUGCAUGGAGCUGACUGGUACUAAUAGGUCGUGUGGCUUGACCUA
rnacentral:rRNA from 1 species